UUGUGUAUUUUGACGCGUAGAAAUUGAAUCUAUAAGUCAAAAUCGUCGCUCUGCACUGUGAAUUGAGAUAUAGGAUCAGUUCUUUAUAGCUGCACUCUGCUGAACUAAUGCAAUAAGUUAAAAUCUGACAACUAUAUUUUUUCUCACUCUAAGUUAUUGCAUUAGUUCAGUAUUGCAGCUACAAAGAACAGACCCAAUAAUGGUUAAAGUUGACUGGGAUGACAGCGAAAUCAGAACUGAGGGGUCUAAACUGGAUGAUAAUUACCUUAUAUUCAUACGUGCUUAUCCCUAUCUAAAUAGAUAUAGCAAGCACAUCGCUACAUGGCUUUCACCAAGCGAGUGUUGUACAAUGCCUCUUGCCCCCGAACCAAGUCAAAAGUGGCGUCAAGGAGUCCUGGAUGCUGUCCUUGAAACAUAGAUUUACAGCUUCUUUAAAGUUGAAGCCACCGAUGUAAUGGAAAUAGUUGACCUGAAACAGAAAAGACAGCAUUGUUGUAAAGUUCUAUAUGAAUAUCCUGGAAAGCACGUAAUUGUGCGAUCGAUGCUAUGGGGAACAUCUCUGGUCUCUGGUACUGAAGUACAUUGGUUGGUGUUUUGCACGCACUUGUAGAUAUUCUCCAAGAGUGUAUUCAUUUUCCUGACAACACAAGAUGGUAUAUGUCGUAAUCGGCAUUUCGAAAGGCCUCUGCGUUCCGAGUUCCAAACUCAAAUACAAGCGGCCUUACGAACAGCUAAGGAGCGGCACAGGCACAGAAGACGAGGGACGACGGCAGGAGGACCAAGGAUCCAGAGGGACUUAUGGGACGACGAUCGUGAGAAAGAACAAGAGGAAGAGCCCGAAAAUACAUAAAGAAACAAGAAGGAAAUAAACGGGUAUUUACAGAUGCGACAAUCCACGGUCACAGGAGAGAGGGAUUGCCACAGGAGAGAGGGAUUGCUGCAGGAGAGAGGGAUUCCACAUACAUGCUCACACAUGCACACACAUACACGCACACACACAUCACACGUAUUUCGCAGGGUCACUUGUGAAGUAGCGUGCUGCUCCUACGCCUCACAUUACACACAUACACCACACAUACUCUACCCGAAGAGGGUGGAGCAAAUCGGCACUUUUCAGUGCCACAUUUUUAAGACGUUGACGUUGAUACAUCUGUGUUGCAAUAAACAAUCGGUACUAUUCAGUUCCACUCAAUAAAAGUUUAUAUUAU